UGUUUGCACACUGGGGAUCAGAC
rnacentral:misc_RNA from 1 species